rnacentral:misc_RNA from 1 species
GCAACCAUUGGGGCAUACCCAGAUGCAAUUCCAGGGUUAAUUUCGCUGCUUUGGGGUGGCAGCGGUAGAGAGAGAAAGGAAGCUGCUACUGCUCUCUACACGCUGUGCUCUUUCCCGGAUAAUCGGGUUCGGGCCGUGCAGAACCAGGCUGUUCCAGUACUAAUUAAGAAUGCUAAUUUAGGCCUAGAAAGAUCAGUUGAGGUAUUGGGAUUAUUAGCAAAAUGUAAAGAGGGUCGUUAUGAAAUGUUUAAAUACUGUGGGUUGUUGGAUAUUUUGAUAAAAUUCUUGAAAAAUGGGUCUUCAAGAGCUGUGCAAUAUGGUCUUUUGACUAUCAGCUUGCUGUGUAGUUACAGUGAAAGGAUGCGUGUGUUGGCUGUAAGAGAAGGGGUGUUUGAGAUUUCUGUUGGGUUAUUACAAGAUGAUAAUGAGAAAGUGAGAAGAAAUGCUAAUAGCUUGAUUCAGGUUUUACAAGGGCAAACAUUAAGUCUUUGAGAUAUGAAUUUGGAAAGUGUUGAUUUUGAAUGGAUUAUUGGAAGCUUUGGAGGGUGA